AAAACAUUGCUUUCUGAAAUUUUAUAGAAAGUAAUUCCUGCCCAGUGACAACUGUUCAACGGCCGCGGUAUCCUAACCGUGCAAAGGUAGCAUAAUAACUUGCCUAUUAAUUGUAGGCUAGAAUGAACGGGUAAACGAAAUAAGAACUGUCUCAAUCAGUUAAUAUAAAAAUUAAUAUCUGUACGAAGAAUUACAGAUACAGUUGAAGGACAAGAAGACCCUAUAGAGCUUUAUUUUAAACAUAUAUUAAAAUAUGUAAAAAUUCGGUUGGGGCGACCCAGGAAUUUAUAAAACAUCCUAAAAAACAAAGAUCUAUAAAUCUAUUAAAUGACCCUUAUUAAGAUCAAAAGACAAAGCUACCUUAGGGAUAACAGGCUAAUCCUAUUUAAGAGUCCAUAUCAAUAAUAGGGUUUGGCACCUCGAUGUUGGCUUAGGGUAUCAAUAUAGCGCAAAAGUUAUAUAAAGAUGGUUUGUUCAACCAAUUAUUCCCUACAUGAGCUGA
rnacentral:rRNA from 1 species